rnacentral:rRNA from 1 species
AGAGUUUGAUCAUGGCUCAGGAUGAACGCUGGCGGCGUGCCUAACACAUGCAAGUUGAGCGAUCUCUUCGGAGAGAGCGGCGGACGGGUGAGUAACGCGUGGGUAACCUGCCCUGUACACACGGAUAACAUACCGAAAGGUAUACUAAUACGGGAUAACAUACGAAAGUCGCAUGGCUUUUGUAUCAAAGCUCCGGCGGUACAGGAUGGACCCGCGUCUGAUUAGCUAGUUGGUAAGGUAAUGGCUUACCAAGGCAACGAUCAGUAGCCGACCUGAGAGGGUGAUCGGCCACACUGGAACUGAGACACGGUCCAGACUCCUACGGGAGGCAGCAGUGGGGAAUAUUGCACAAUGGGCGAAAGCCUGAUGCAGCAACGCCGCGUGAGCGAUGAAGGCCUUCGGGUCGUAAAGCUCUGUCCUCAAGGAAGAUAAUGACGGUACUUGAGGAGGAAGCCCCGGCUAACUACGUGCCAGCAGCCGCGGUAAUC